rnacentral:tRNA from 1 species
AGAGAGGUGGCAGAGUGGUCGAUUGCGACGGUCUUGAAAACCGUUGACUGUUACAGGUCCGGGGGUUCGAAUCCCUCCCUCUCUG